rnacentral:rRNA from 1 species
GACGUAGGGCGCAAGCGUUGUCCGGAUUUAUUGGGCGUAAAGAGCUCGUAGGCGGCUUGUCGCGUCGACCGUGAAAACCCGCAGCUCAACUGCGGGCUUGCGGUCGAUACGGGCAGGCUCGAGUUCGGUAGGGGAGACUGGAAUUCCUGGUGUAGCGGUGAAAUGCGCAGAUAUCAGGAGGAACACCGGUGGCGAAGGCGGCGUUCUGGACUGCAACUGACACUGAGGAACGAAAGCCAGGGGAGCAAACGGG